rnacentral:rRNA from 1 species
AUACGUAUGGGGCUAGCGUUGUUCGGAAUUAUUGGGCGUAAAGGGCGUCUAGGCGGGGAAUUAAGUUGGGUGUGAAAUCCCUGGGCUCAACCCAGGAACUGCAUCCAAAACUGGUUCUCUUGAGUUCGGGAGAGGAGAGCGGAAUUCCCGGUGUAGCGGUGAAAUGCGUAGAUAUCGGGAAGAACACCAGUGGCGAAGGCGGCUCUCUGGCCUAGAACUGACGCUGAAGCGCGAAAGCGUGGGGAGCGAACGGGAUUAGAUACCCCGGUAGUCCACGCUGUAAACGUUGUGUACUAGGUGUUAGUGACUUGUUCACUAGUGCCGACGCUAACGCAUUAAGUACACCGCCUGGGGAGUACGGCCGCAAGGCUUAA